GGCGCACGGGUGAGUACACGUAGGUACCUGCCCUCGAGCUCGGAAUAACCUACCGAAAGGUGGGCUAAUACCGGAUAUGACCACGAACGUUUCGGCGUUUGCGGUGAAAGGUGGCCUCUACUUGUAGCUACCACUCAAGGAUGAGCCUGCGGGCCAUUAGCUAGUUGGCGGGGUAACGGCCCACCAAGGCGAUGAUGGCUAGCUGGUCUGAGAGGAUGGCCAGCCACAAUGGGACUGAAACACGGCCCAGACCCCUACGGGAGGCAGCAGUAGGGAAUAUUGCGCAAUGGGCGAAAGCCUGACGCAGCGACGCCGCGUGGGUGAUGAAGGCCUUCGGGUCGUAAAGCCCUGUCGAGGGGGACGAAUCGGUUGCGACCUAACACGUCGUGAUCCUGACGGUACCCCUAAAGGAAGCACCGGUAACUCCGUGCCAGCCGCCGC
rnacentral:rRNA from 1 species